rnacentral:rRNA from 1 species
GACGAACGCUGGCGGCGUGCUUAACACAUGCCAGUCGAACGGAAAGGCCCUGCUUUUGUGGGGUGCUCGAGUGGCGAACGGGUGAGUAACACGUGAGUAACCUGCCCUUGACUUUGGGAUAACUUCAGGAAACUGGGGCUAAUACCGGAUAGGAGCUCCUGCUGCAUGGUGGGGGUUGGAAAGUUUCGGCGGUUGGGGUUGGACUCGCGGCUAUCAGGUUGUUGGUGGGGUAGUGGCUUACCAAGGCUUUGGCGGGUAGCCGGCCUGAGAGGGUGACCGGCCACAUUGGAACUGAGAUACGGCCCAGACUCCUAAGGGAGGCAGCAGUGGGGAAUAUUGCACAAUGGGCGGAAGCCUGAUGCAGCAACGCCGCGUGCGGGAUGACGGCCUUCGGGUUGUAAACCGCUUUCGCCUGUGACGAAGCGUGAGUGACGGUAAUGGGUAAAGAAGCACCGGCUAACUACGUG